rnacentral:rRNA from 1 species
GACGUAGGGCGCGAGCGUUGUCCGGAUUUAUUGGGCGUAAAGAGCUCGUAGGCGGCUUGUCGCGUCGUCCGUGAAAACCUGGGGCUCAACCCCCAGGCUUGCGGUCGAUACGGGCAGGCUCGAGUUCGGUAGGGGAGACUGGAAUUCCUGGUGUAGCGGUGAAAUGCGCAGAUAUCAGGAGGAACACCGGUGGCGAAGGCGGGGUCUCUGGGCCGAUACUGACGCUGAGGAGCGAAAGCGUGGGGGAGCGAACAGG